GGUGGUUUUAGCUCAGGGGGUCAAGCUUUGGGCUGCUGAGCAGAAGGUUGUGAGUUCAAAUCCCAACACUACCA